rnacentral:lncRNA from 1 species
CGGCCGCGCCCCCUCGCCGAUGGCCGAAGCCUGGAGGCUGGAGGAGGACGAGGAGGAGCUGCGGGAGCUCGGCAGGAGGCACCGCCGGGCCCUGGGCUCGGCAGCAGCCAAGGACCCUUGUCAUCCAUAAGAGCAGCAAUCAAGAGAUCUUCUCGGACUUCUAGCCAUAGUGAGCAGCAGAGGGAUAGAAGGUAUGAUGCAGUUAUUUAUAUUGCAAUUGGGUGUUACUUUAAAACUUGUUAGAUUGUAUCACAGUAUUACUUUUUCUGCCUUUCUGUAGUUGUUUUGGUGUUGCUUUUUUUUU